rnacentral:rRNA from 1 species
GGUAUUCCGCCGCCCCUUAUGCUCAUACUAUGCAAGUCGAACGGUAACAGGUCUUCGGAUGCUGACGAGUGGCGAACGGGUGAGUAAUACAUCGGAACGUGCCUGGUAGUGGGGGAUAACUACUCGAAAGAGUAGCUAAUACCGCAUGAGAUCUACGGAUGAAAGCAGGGGACCUUCGGGCCUUGUGCUACCAGAGCGGCUGAUGGCAGAUUAGGUAGUUGGUGGGGUAAAGGCUUACCAAGCCUGCGAUCUGUAGCUGGUCUGAGAGGACGACCAGCCACACUGGGACUGAGACACGCCCCAGACUCCUACGGGAGGCAGCAGUGGGGAAUUUUGGACAAUGGGCGAAAGCCUGAUCCAGCAAUGCCGCGUGCAGGAUGAAGGCCUUCGGGUUGUAAACUGCUUUUGUACGGAACGAAAAGCCUGGUGCCAAUACCCCCGGGUCAUGACGGUACCGUAAGAAUAAGCACCGGCUAACUACGUGUCAGCAGCCGCGGUAAUACGUAGGGUGCAAGCGUUAAUCGGAAUUACUGUGCGUAAAGCGUGCGCAGGCGGUUUUGUAAGACAGUGGUGAAAUCUCCGCGCUCUACCUCGGAACUGCCAUUGUGACUGCAAGGGCUAGAGUGCGGCAGAGAGGGAUGGAAUUCCGCGUGUAGCAGUGAAAUGCGUAGAUAUGCGGAGGAACACCGAUGGCGAAGGCCAUCCCCCUGGGCCUGCACUGACGCUCAUGCACGAAAGCGUGGGGGAGCAAACAGGAUUAGUAACCCCUGGGUGGUCCAA